GCGAAAGUGCCGGUAAUACUUGAUAACAUCACGGGAUCGCAUGUUCCUGUGAUCAAAGAUGGGGAUCCUUCGGGACCUAUCGGCAACGGAUCGAUCCAUGUCCUAUCAGCUUGUUGGUAGGGUAACGGCCUACCAAGGCAACGACGGGUAACCGGCGUGAGAGCGCGAGCGGUCACAUCGGGACUGAGACACUGCCCGGACACCUACGGGUGGCUGCAGCAACGAAUCUUCCGCAAUGGGCGAAAGCCUGACGGAGCGACGCCGCGUGAAGGAUGAAGUUUUUCGGAAUGUAAACUUCAAUAGUUUGUCAGAAAGCAAUCCGGGUUAAUACCCCGGUGCGUUGAUCAGCAAACGAAAGGGGUGGCUAACUCCGUGCCAGCAGCCGCGGUAACACGGAGACCCCUAGCGUUGUUCGGAAUUACUGGGCUUAAAGAGCGUGUAGGCGGAGCGGUAAGUACUUUGUGAAAGCCCCGGGCUCAACCCCGGGAAUUGCUUGGUAUACUGCCGUUCUUGAGGCAGGUAGGGGUCACUGGAACCUUAGGUGGAGCGGUGAAAUGCGUAGAUAUCUAAGGGAACGCCUGUGGCGAAAGCGGGUGACUGGGCCUGACCUGACGCUGAGACGCGAAAGCGUAGGGAGCGAACGGGAUUAGAUACCCCGGUAGUCUACGCCGUAAACGAUGCGCACUAGGUUCGAGAGAUUCUGACAUCAUUCGAGCCGAAAACAAAAGCGAUAAGUGCGCCGCCUGGGGAGUACGGCCGCAAGGCUAAAACUCAAAGGAAUUGACGGGGGCUCACACAAGCGGUGGAGCAUGUGGACCAAUUCGAAGCAACGCGAAGAACCUUACCUGGGUUUGACAUGCACGGAUGCAAUCUAUGAAAGUGGAGUAAGCUGCCUUCGGGUGAAACGUGCACAGGUGCUGCAUGGCUGUCGUCAGCUCGUGCUGUGAAGUGUCGGGUUAAGUCCCUUAACGAGCGAAACCCUUAUCGCUAGUUGCCAGCGGGUUAUGCCGGGAACUCUAGCGAGACUGCCGGCGUUAAGCCGGAGGAAGGUGGGGACGACGUCAAGUCAUCAUGGCCUUUAUGCCCAGGGUUUCACACGUGCUACAAUGGGGUGUACAGAGCGAAGCGAGACCGUGAGGUGGAGCAAAUCGCAGAAAACAUCCCUCAGUUCGGAUUGGGGUCUGCAAUUCGACCCCAUGAAGUUGGAAUCGCUAGUAAUCGCGUAUCAGCCAUGACGCGGUGAAUAUGUUCCUGAGCAUUGUACACACCGCCCGUCAAGUCAUGGGAAUUGG
rnacentral:rRNA from 1 species